ensembl:lncRNA
ACUAACAGUUUGAACUCCCAAUGCUUGGCAUUUAUCGUGGCAGAAAUACCCUCCUGGACAGUACUGGAUUCAAGGGGAAGCAGUCUUUCUGGAUCCCCUAUGAAACCCCUUGCUAUUUCUCCCUUAAGUGCAAUUCCUAUUUCUAUGCAAUUUAAUUCCAGUUUCCCCUUCUUCCACUGCCCCCAAACUGUCCAUCAAAAAGCCUGCUCAAUGCAACAUUGAAGAGGAGAGGGGCUCCAUUUGUCCGGGAAAAGAGCGGACCCUCAGUUUCAGCCUUGGGGGAAAAUAGUCCUUUUUCUUCAAAGGCAGGAGUCACAUUCCUUUUGCAGUUCUGAUAGGAGCUGCUCCAGAGAACACCAGCUGAAAGUAAAUGUCCUUGAGGGCCCCAGCAUUCUCCUCAUCAUUAAUGCAUGGGCAUGGUCAUCCAGCCUUCAGAACCUGCCUGAAAGAGAUGCCCGAAGAAUCAGGAAACACCAGGGAAGCAGAGGACACAAGCUUGGAUGUGAAAUAGCAACAUCUUAUGCACUGAAGAAUAAUAAAACAAUGUUUUUAAUUACGAAAGAAAAUAUGUAAGAAAAUGUGCAGCAAAUUUUGGGGCGGUUCCAAGCUAGAACACUUUACAUUUAUCUGUACAUACGGAACUGAACAGAGAUUGCUCCCUUCUAAAAUUUUCUAAGACAUGAUCUCAAUUGCCGAUUUUUGUCUACCCACAUAAAAGCGGAGCUUUAUGACCCUCCUUUUCAGCCUGGGGAAGGGGGGCUGGGAGAAGACUUUGCACUUUUGAAAAGGCAGCCAUAUUUGCACUUUUUCCCCUGUGCAGAGGUAAUCCAGGCGAUGUGCUGGGCUUUGUGGAACCUCACAAAAUGGCAGUCUCCGAACUGACUUUUCUCUAGAAACCAUUGAGACCCACACCCUCUUUUGUGUGUUUCUAGUCCUCGCAAACAGAGAACCUAAAUCACUUGGAAGGCUUGGUUCUUUCAUUCAGUGUUAACAUUGGAGGGUCCUAUUUUUCUCUAAACGGUUUACAGACCUCUCUAAGCAGACUCUAAGUAAUCCAGGGCCAAAAAGCAUCGCCUAGAUUUUCAAAGGAUUCUCUGAAGGUUUAUGCACAUUUCUGCAGCAAAAAUGUUUGCUCCCUUAGCUGCAACCCUCCGAUGUUUACAGAUUUGAGCCAGUUAGAAGGGUAUCUUCUGUGCUUGUCACCUUGAGUUUGUCUGCAUAAAACACCAUGAUGGGGGUUUCUAGCCACUAAAAGAAGGUGGUGUGUGUGUGACGGGGGGGGGGUGUAAUUCCCAAGCUCUUUAUUUGAAGGCAGAUCUAUGAUUUUCCCAGCUACAAAAAGAAACAUAUAUACCUACAUUUAUUUAUGACCAACACUUUCUGCAAUGUGUAAUCUAUGUGUAAGUACAAAUACACCAAAUAUAUACCCAGAAUACCAAAUUUGUAGAUGAACAAAUACUCUGCAAUGCACCAGGUAUUACAACAGAGUUUUCUGUACAAGAGCUCCAGUUUUACUAUAGGUUGGGGGCGAUGAGUCAAGAAGGUACAACGCUUCCACAGCAACACAGAAUAUAGAGGAAAUAAGCACAUUGCUACCUCCCCUUCAUUUCUUGAUUUCCACAUCCAUUCAUGCACCACCAGGUCCCCUGAGUCUUGCCCCAAAUCAGUGGCUCUAAAACUGGAAUUUAGGGAGCAGUUUUCAGUGGGAGACAGCGAAUUUUGCUAAUAGAGGAAUCACUUAAAUGGAAGGCAGCUGGAGUUUAGCCAGUAAGAACCUCCAGCUAGCUUGCGGCUUCCCAUUGCCACUUCUACCACCACCUCCACCAACCCCCACCGCCACCACCACCACCCCACAGGCUGUUCCCUAGCCAUGCUUUCAGGCGCUUGGCAUCUUUGCUCUGUAGAAGCCAACGGCAGUGUCUCAAGCAGCACACGGAGCAGAACGUUUCCAAAUCCAGCAUGCACAAUUGCAGCUGUUUCCUCUAGUGCAAAUGUUUCUUAAGCCGCAGGCCACCGUGACUUAAAAUUGUCUUUCCUGGCUCAGGUCAGCGAAUGCCACAGCCACAGCCUCUUCCCUGGAUAGAAAGCUAGGUGGUGGGGCGCCUGGGUGGCACAGCAGUUAAGCGUCUGCCUUCGGCUCAGGGCGUGAUCCUGGCGUUAUGGGAUCGAGCCCCACAUCAGGCUCCUCCGCUAUGAGCCUGCUUCUUCCUCUCCCACUCCCCCUGCUUGUGUUCUCUCUCUCGCUGGCUGUCUCUCUCUCUGUCAAAUAAAUAAAUAAAAUCUUUAAUAAAAAAAAAAAAG